rnacentral:rRNA from 1 species
UACGUAGGGUGCGAGCGUUAAUCGGAAUUACUGGGCGUAAAGCGUGCGCAGGCGGUUUUGUAAGCCAGAUGUGAAAUCCCCGGGCUUAACCUGGGAAUGGCAUUUGGGACUGCAAGGCUUGAGUUUGGCAGAGGAGACUGGAAUUCCUGGUGUAGCAGUGAAAUGCGUAGAUAUCAGGAGGAAUACCGAUGGCGAAGGCAGGUCUCUGGGCAUUAACUGACGCUGAGGAGCGAAAAGCAUGGGGGAGCGAACAGG